rnacentral:lncRNA from 1 species
UUUACUGACUUGAACCUGACUUGAUUUCAGGUUAUAUAUCCUAUAACCUUUUGAGGUUGUUGUAUAACCUAGAAAAAUCCUUGGUUAUGCCUGUCGAUUAGGCUUGAUUCUCUUUGCUACAGCACAUGCACAUAACAUGGAAAAAAAAAUCUUUAAGUGUUUCAUUGAAUGUUUCAUAGCUAACCAAGCUUCUAUUGGAGUUUUGCGUUCAACUGCUUUAGUUGGUAAUCUAUUUAAUAAGUAACUGAAGUAUGCAAAGCUUCUGCUCAUUAUUCUUGAGGCAAGGGUUUGUCAUUCAUCAAACACCUUUGACAUAAUUCUAGGUGGCUCAAGUUUACUUUUAACGAUGCAAUCCCACAUCAAAGAGGAAUCCUCUAGAAAUCCAAAUUCCAGUAGCACAGUUAGCCGCGAGUCUAUAACCGCACGGGAAGAAGGGCAUGUUGCGCACACAACACGCAAGCGCAAAUGCAUAGAAGCUUGUACGCACGCUGCACAACACACACAGACCAGCAUGGGCAAGAAAAAAGAGAUUCUCGCAAAGCCAAGUAACGUAAGCUAGUAGCUUGGCACGCAUGCAUGGGCAUGCACAUGCGCAAGAAGGAGCAUUGGCACAUAUAGGGAUUUGUCUCGCAUGAAGAAGCACAGGGGGCAUGUAGGAAAACAGAAUCCACACAUGGAAUAGCGAGGCGUGCAUGGAAAGGCCAACUGUGCGUGGACAAGAAUUGUAGCAUGCCUGUUUAUGUGAGCUGAGCCGUUCACGCACUGAAGAGGUGCACUUGUGCAAGCGCCACACGUCACACACGAAGAGCGCAGGGGGCGCACAUGCACGAGCCAAAUCGUGUGCAUGCACCAAAAAGGUCGCACACGCCUGCAGGUUAUGCCAUGAGGAAACCUUUCGCGUAUAUGAGGCAUGCGGAUGGGGAAGUUGCUGCCAAGAAGGACUCUGCUUCUCCUUUUUCUCAAUGUGAUUUAAUCCAAAUUCACACU